GAUAUUAACAAAUAAAUAAGUAUGUGAUUACAUCAUGACAUCAUGAAGGAGGCUACUGAUUCUGGCCCUGUGACACUUGGUGGUGACGUGUGAGCUGAUUCACCUGGACACUCAGCAAAAUAUGGACGCUACACCAUGAGGCAGGCACACGUUAAUACUCUAUAAGAGCACAUAAGCAUGAGGAUGUCCUCACACACCUGUAACCUAUCAGCUCAUCUGGCAGAAUAGAGAGAGAAGAGACAACACCACAUCUCCUGUUCCUGGAAAGCCUUCAGCCAUCCUUCGAUGACUGAGAACCUCCAUCAGCUCUGUCUCCUGUCUGCCUACAAUUAUUAUAAUAAAUAUUGUGUUUGACAA